rnacentral:rRNA from 1 species
CAGCCCUAAACGAUGCGCGUUAGGUGUAUCGGUGACCACGAGUCACCGAGGUGCCGAAGGGAAACCGUGAAACGUGCCGCCUGGGAAGUACGGUCGCAAGGCUGAAACUUAAAGGAAUUUGGCGGGGGGAGCACCACAACGGGUGGAGCCUGCGGUUUAAUUGGACUCAACGCCGGGAAGCUCACCGGAUAAGACAGCGGAAUGAUUGCCGGGCUGAAGACCCUGCAUGACCAGCUGAGAGGAGGUGCAUGGCGUAGUCGUGU